UACGUAGGGUGCGAGCGUUGUUCGGAAUUAUUGGGCGUAAAGGGCUCGUAGGCGGUCUGUCGCGUCGGGAGUGAAAACUCGGGGCUUAACUCCGAGCCUGCUUCUGAUACGGGCAGACUAGAGGUAUGCAGGGGAGAAUGGAAUUCCUGGUGUAGCGGUGAAAUGCGCAGAUAUCAGGAGGAACACCGGUGGCGAAGGCGGUUCUCUGGGCAUGACCUGACGCUGAGGAGCGAAAGUGUGGGGAGCGAACAGG
rnacentral:rRNA from 1 species